GAGUGUUCCAAAUUUGUGAUAAAAUUAUGAACUCCACCUUCAUGCUGCGGCAAAUCGACUCCUGUCUAUAUAACAAUGAUAUAUGAUAUCAAUAAUUAGGAAUGAUAAAUAACCAGCCUGGCUCGUCAUACUUCCCACUCUAAUUAUAAAAGAUAAAUUUAAAAUAAUAGAAAAAUGGAAGAUCGAGAAUUAACAAGGACUAUAAAAUUCUUACCAAAAUUUUUUUGUAUAAAUUCUCUAUACUAUUGUCAUCAAAUGGAAGGAAACCACAGAGUAAAGCAUAAAGAAUGACUCCCAUGCUCCAGAUGUCUACUUCUGAACCUAUCCAUAAAAUAAUUAUGACAACUUCUGUUUUUUAAUAAGAAUAGGAAAUAAUUUGAA